rnacentral:lncRNA from 1 species
GAGGCUCCCUGCGCCCCGACUCCGCGCGGCCGGAACCCUCGCGCCGCCGCGCCACCCGGAGCCGCCCGGGACCCGGACCCCGCGCGCCCCGCGCCGGGCGGGGACUAUUUUCUCUGCCCGUGUCCUCUCCUCUCCCCACGCCGGGAGGAACAUUCCUGGCUCUCCCCGCCCGGCUGCGUCUGUGCCCGCUCCUCCCCCGCCGCGUGUUUUCCGCCCCAGUAAAGAUCGUGCCACACAAAUAAGCCUCGAAUGCCCUUUGCCGAGCAGGCAGGAGGGCAGCAAGCGCAGAGCCCGAGCGGGCCAUUUUCAGGGCGCGUCUCCGGAGCCGCUAAAAGUCUUGUUUUCUCCCAAAAGUGGAAGGUGGGAGGUGGGGCGGUCGUGGGGCCGCUUCCAACUGCUACACACGCUCGAAUAGUUGUCAGUAAAAUCAAACUGACGUCAGCCCUGAGGAAAAAGAUAGGUCUCUUUUGUUCUCAUGUUCUACCCCCGCCCCUUGCGAUCAAAGGCAAAAAACAUUUUUUUGGAGGUGGGGGGAAAGACAAAAAGGGGGAAAAAAUUGCAAUGCGGAGAGAUAGCUUCCAUCAGAGCUCCUGCCCGGGCGAUGGGAAUGUUUAAUGAAUGCAUCAAGCCUUUUGAUCACCCUCGCUCGGUUGGGUUCAGUAGUGCCGGAAGGUUAGUUGCAUCUCCUGUGGCUGAUCUGAAAUUCGAUCAGCAGAGGGGGCAAAGAAAAGAAAAGCAUUUUAAUGGGAAUCAAUAGGGGAUCAUAGGUCUUGGAAGGAAAUACGUGUUGAUUAAAAAUGCCACAAGAUUAAAAAAUGUCCACGACUUGUUUAAAAAGAGAAAAAGGAAAAAACAGA